rnacentral:lncRNA from 1 species
AAGUUCCCAGGCUACUGUGCCGCCUCUACUGUGCUGGGCUUCCAGACUAGACCAACCACCCACUCACUGGAUCAAUGAGACCAGGGCCCGAGAGUUCUUAUUUUUAAUUGUGUCCCCAGUCAUCCCAUGAGCCAAUUAAUUUCAAAGAGCUGCCUUUUCAUUUCCACCGAAUCCUCACCUGACCAGACCCCCGAACUGCCAGCCCUCCUACCCCAAAGGCGCAUGUUCCACAUGUUUCCUCACUCCUGUCCCUCCUUUGAACACACAUUUAGCUUCGCCUGAAACAUCUCUGGUCACCAUCGUCACUGGUGCACCAGCCCCUCAGUUUCUUCCACGCCCUGCAGACGACAGAAUUAAGAACUAAAGAUGACAUUUUGAUGGAAGGAAAGUAACUUUGCUAAAAACCUGCCAGAGAAACAAAACGUGCUGGCCUUUUCUGUAACUGUUUCUUCUCAACAUUCCUGCAAGUUUGCAACUUGGUCCUACCCUCUGAAAUUUGGAAGAAAAAUCAAAUCUUAAAACUGAAGACUCAGAAAACCUGAGUUUUUUUUUUUUUUUUCAACAAAGUAUCAAAUUUUAAAGUCAAGACAACGAAUGGCAACUGCUAUACCCCACUGUACCAGCAGUUAGCUUGUUGGGUUGUAUGUAUCAUUCUUUCUUUUCCUAGCUGAGAAAUCAGUGUCUUUCAUGAGGCAAUGAACCAGUAGAGACUCUGAGAAAGCUAUAGAUCAGAAUCCAACCCAACAAUGUCCCCUCCUCCCGGCAGCUCUCCAGGAUUGCAUCUGAGAUAAAGACUUCUCCUCCCUCCAUGGUAUACUCCAAGGUCACCAAAUGUGAACACCUGCCUCCGUCACGGUUUUCCUCUCUGUGCCACACUGCACGUUCUAAACACCAGGAACUUUGAAGCACAAACUCACCCCCUCGCUCCGACUGCCUUCGCAGUGCCCUCUGCCGAACGACAGACGCCCAGAGAAGAGCUGAUCGGGAGCCCAAGCGGGAAGCCCAGACUGACGCACACCUGACCAUCUCAGAAAAACCAAAUUAUGUUCUGAGCCGGGGGGGACUCGGGCCUUCCCCGCCGUGCACCCUGCUCGUCCUCAGCACAUCUGGUGACACACGUGCUCGUCCUUCCUUCCCAACGUCUCCCACCCCGCUCAGUCUGCGACUUCCCUGAGCACAGGGCUGUCCCUGGUCUUUCUAUGGGUGGUGCCAGCUGCUCAGUAAAUCCAACCCAAGGAGCUUGAAGGUGGCUUUCCCUGGCUGCUCCCCCCGUGACCACCAUCGUCCUUCACGCGACAAACUCGCUGUGCAAGUGCAAAUGCACGGGGAGGUCCCGACAGCCGAGCCCCGUUGGGCGAGGAACGCCUGAGACCCUCACGCAGCCUCAUCCAGAUGCAGCAAUGGGGAAGCAGUGGGCUCUGGAAGGUUCCGCAGGUUCUGCAACUAAACCAAGGCACCCUCCCCCCCACGGAUGGCGUCACGAACACUUUGAGGCUCCCCAGGAGUCUCGACAGGUGUUUCCCGAAGAGGCUCACUGCUCACGCAUCGCAUCUCACAAGACACUGCUCCUGUCGCUGGGUUUUUAUGGGCUUUUCACGACCACUUCCCCCCUUCCUCUUGCUUUGUCUACAGCACAGUAACGUGAGCAGCUUUUGCCUGAUGGUGACAAUGACAGCAAACGUUAAACAUGACACGCCAGGCAUUCUGAUGAGUGUUUUACGUACAUCAUCUCGUUUCUUCUUCACUGUUUUAUUAAGAGGUAGCUGCUAUUGUCAAGUCUACCUUCAAGAUGAGCAAACAGGUCCAGGAGAACUGAUGUGCCCACAGUUGUACAGCUAGUAAGGAACAGGCUUGUCUGUCGUUCAGGGUGGUUCCAACAUGUUCGAAGCUGGACCUCCUGAGCCGGAGGGACAGUUUCCUUUGAGCCACUCGGUCCUUUCCGACACGAUCCCACCCAGCCCCUUCUGUAAAACUGCCUCCUCAGCCAGCGGGGCGGAGGGGACGCGGAAGGGCCAGCUGCGGCGUCAGGGAGUCUCCCGCUCAAGGCCUGGCUUCGUCUCUCUGGGAUGCACUCCACUUUGUCAUCCACGAAAUCAAGAUUUCAAUUAAAACACUCCUUGCGGUGAUCAUGUAAGACCCACGCGUGGCAAGUGCCUGGUGUGUAAUAAACAAGGAUUCCACGUCCCCAUGGACCUCAUUCUCACCGGGGCCCGCGCACGUAACAAUGUCACUCAAGACUCUGCCUGGACGAUCUCGAGUAGGAAGCACCUAGGACCCAGGCUGCAGCUCCAACCAAGACCCCGAUCCAUGAAUGGCACCCCGAAGUGCUCCAGAGGGGGUACCUCGUCUACUACGGUUCUGGUGGAAUCACGGAAAACACCCAAAAAUGGGAAGAGUUCCUGCCGCGGAGCAACGGAAUUGGUGGCAUCUCUGCAGCGCCAGGACCCAGGUCUGAUGGCCAGCACAGGAGGUUCCAGGAUCCAGAGCAGCUGCGGUGUUGUUGGUGGCAACUAUGCCUUGGAUCUGAUCCCUGGCCUGGGAACCCUGUGUGCCACGGGGUGGCCAAAAAUGGAGGGAAAAAAAGAAAAAGAAGGAAGGAAAAAAGCAAAGAGGAGCCACCUGAAUUCUCUCUCCUCACUGCAAGGCCCCGCAGGGCUGCCCGACUCCAGGGGCUGCUGUUCUCAGCUGAGCGGGCUCUGCAGUGAGAUGUCCCUGGCCAGCAGCUAAGGGGCUUGGGCGAGGUGGUGGGCCGCCUACAAGCCUUGCUCACCCCCUCCUCCUAUGGCCCACCUGUCUGCCCAAGGCAGACUGCCCAGGGAAAUCAAGGCGCAUCAGAAACGAGCAUUUGCGUCCUAGCUCUCCAACCAACGAGCCGUCUCAACUUGACUAAAUUAACUUCUGAGCCUUCAAUUACUCAUCUUUAGAACAGAGACGGUCACAUCCUCGGGUGUUGGAAGGAUUAAACGAAAUGAGUAUGUACUGUGGCCCACAAGCGCCUGGACUCAACAUCAGUAGUUCCCCAAGAGUGGGAGUUUAUGCUGUUACUCUAUUUUUCAGUGCAAGAUGCAUUACCCAAAAAGAUUUGAACGUCAAACACCGUGGGACUCAAAGUUGGUCCAUCACAGUCUUACCAAGUAUCUUUAUAAGAUCCUAUCUAUCCACAAAGGUAGCCACUUAAUUAGAAACAAAUUUUUCUUUUUGGCUCUGCCCAUGGCAGGUGCGAGUGCCCAGGCCAGGGAUUGAACCCGUGCCAAAGUAGCACCCCAGGCCACUCAAGUGACAACGCAAGAUCCUUCACCCACUGUACCACAAGGGAACGCAUAGAAACAACUUUUAAAUAUACGAUAGACAUACCUCCAUUAGAAUACAUACAAGCACAUGUUCAUUGUAAAUACAGCCAUCCGGAGUGUUUUUUGCAAGCAAGUUCAUCCAAGUGCCAUGUGGUCACGGCCCCUCCCUGUUAAACACAGAAGCCACGUCCCGGUAACCUUGGCCAACGCCAAUCACCCCCCUCCCCUGUGCCUGCGGGUUUCAGACGUCCCACCAACUCCGGCUCAGAAAGGAGCUUUGCAAUUAAAAGCACCGAGAAGCAGCAGCUCUGCCUCCCUCUGUAGCAGCCAGUGUCCCCCAGGGGCCCAGGGCCUCCUCCGUGUCUGCUUUAUUCCCCGAGUUCCUGGUCUGGUGCUGCCUCUGUCCAUACCUCCAACACCUGCUCCAAAUGCGAAAGUCAGCCUUGUCUUUGCUGGCUUCGCCCGCAGUGAUGUGACUAAGGCCACACCAUCGAGGGUGAGCACACGGGCUUAGGAAAUGGGACCAGCUUCCCAAAUCACCCUUAUUCCCUCCCACGCCCACCCAACUGCCACCCCCAGGUGAUGGGUUCUAAGCCUGUGGGGUUCCAUGUUCCCAGAGACAGAAGCUCUCUCUGGUCCCUUUCAGAAUCGUAUUUGAAUUAACUUACUGGGCCAACAGAAAACCUUACAUAAACCUCUUCCUUGGGUAUCAAUUCUAUAGACGUGAGGGGUUAAAUCUGUUUCUAGUCAGGUAUGAACGCCUUGAACAUUUAAAACUUUUUUUGCUUUUGAGGGCUGCACCCGUGGCAUAUGGAGGACCCCAGGCGAGGGGUUGAACUGGAGCUACAGCUGCCAGCCUACGCCACAGCCACAGCCAUGUGGGAUCUGAGCUGUGUCUGCAACCUACACAGCUCACGGCAACACCGGAUCCUUAACCCACUGAGCAAGACCAGGGACUGAACCCGCAACCUCAUGGAUACUAGUCGGAUUCAUUUUCACUGCGCCACAAGGGGAGCUAUUUAAAACAUUAAUAAAAUUUUUAAUUUUUACAAUGAAAAAAAUGCUGCUUGUCAUUCAUUUUCUGGCUUUUUGUCACAAGGUCUUUACAUCUCUAUUCUCCAACCAUAAGUAAAUGAAAAUUAUGAUUACAGAUACUCAUCCGGGGAAUAGUGACGUACUCGCCGAGAGUAACUUUAGAAAGUAUUUAAGGAUACUUCAUGGCGCUGUACUAGUGUUACUAAAAUAGAAUCUAGAUAGGGGGUGUCGCUGUCACUUC